CACAGCUCUAGGAACUCAAAGGAACCAAUCACCAACACUUGAACGUGCCCUGGGUGAAAAGUGCAUGACUGGAACUUAUUGCCACCAGAGCACAAUUCAUAUAAACACUUCCCAUCACUAACAGACCAUAUCCGUGCACUAUCUUCACUCACGGAUGCCAGGUAUCUCCCAGUCACAUGCCAGCAGAUUGAGCGGAUGUCUUUGACAUGUCCUAGUAACUUUUUUUGAAUGCUGCUAGUUUCGACAUCAAAAAUAUUUACAACAUUUCCACUAGAACUUGCCAAAAAGUCCCCACGUUGAGGUUGAAAUCUAACGUGUCUACUACCUCCCUUAAAAAUGAGGUCGCAUUCACCCCUACUGACAUCCCACAGUCUAAUGUCGUUGCUGGUAUCACAAGAACUGAGGAGGCCCAACUUUGUUGGAUGAAAAUCCGUAGACAUUACGUGCUCAACAUGCCCGACAAGGUUUUGGAAAGGGUUGCUUGGCUUGGCUGCAUCCCAUAUCUUCACAGUUCUGUCAAAGGAAGAUGUUGCAAACACUGUUGAGUGUGGUCUAAAACGGACAUCUGUAACGUGGUGAGCAUGACCUUCUCCACUAUAAACAUUGUUAGUUCUCAACUUCCAAAUCAGUACCUUCUUGUCGUGUCCAGCAGCAGCCAACAACUCUCCUUCUGAAUCGAAGUGGCAACAUAGGAGCUUGCUAGUGUUUGUGUGAAGGUUGCUAAUCGCUUUCAAUGAAUUGCCUUCCCGUUCAGCUUGAGUGCGUGCAGGCGCAGCAAAACUAGCGACAGGAGUUUUCUCUUUCCCAACAGGUUCCAGAGAAUUCAAUGGAGUUUUCCUCUUUGUGCCACUCUUAUUUGGAUACUGCAGUCCCA
rnacentral:misc_RNA from 1 species